rnacentral:piRNA from 1 species
UGAUGCAUACUAAACUUUGAGAACCAUA